UACGUAGGGGGCAAGCGUUGUCCGGAUUUAUUGGGCGUAAAGAGCGUGUAGGCGGCCAGACAGGUCCGUUGUGAAAACUCGAGGCUCAACCUCGAGACGCCGAUGGAAACCGUCUGGCUAGAGUCCGGAAGAGGAGAGUGGAAUUCCUGGUGUAGCGGUGAAAUGCGCAGAUAUCAGGAAGAACACCCGUGGCUAAGGCGGC
rnacentral:rRNA from 1 species